AUAUAUAUACACAUAUAUACGUAUAUAUGUGUAUACGUAUACACAUAUAUGCGUAUAUAUGUGUGUAUAUAUA
rnacentral:pre_miRNA from 13 species